AGCUGAAGCAGAAAGAGUUCAGUUAGAGUCCCAGAACUGAAGGCUGAGGCAGGGUGAGUGUUAAUCCAACAUUUUAUUAUGUUACUGUCAAAGUCUCUGAGGCAGUUUUCUCCCUGUGGACUGGAGAGGAAAGAAACCUUAGAGGAACUCAGCACUACUGACUGAAGUCCAGAAGAUGAGUGUUUGUGUCGAGGAAGACGGAGCAGAGUCUGCAGGAUCCAGCUGUCUGUCUAUGAAGAGUGACCAGCCCAAAAACCGUCCUCCAGACUUCAGUCCUGAACCUGGACCCUCAGACUCAAAUGUGGAGGAGCAGCCGUCCUGCUGUGCUUUGUGUCAGGACGUCCUGAAGGAUCCAGUCUC